rnacentral:rRNA from 1 species
GAUGAACGCUGGCGGCGUGCCUAAUACAUGCAAGUCGAGCGAACGGACGAGAAGCUUGCUUCUCUGAUGUUAGCGGCGGACGGGUGAGUAACACGUGGAUAACCUACCUAUAAGACUGGGAUAACUUCGGGAAACCGGAGCUAAUACCGGAUGAUAUUUUGAACCGCAUGGUUCAAAAGUGAAAGACGGUCUUGCUGUCACUUAUAGAUGGAUCCGCGCUGCAUUAGCUAGUUGGUAAGGUGACGGCUUACCAAGGCAACGAUGCAUAGCCGACCUGAGAGGGUGAUCGGCCACACUGGAACUGAGACACGGUCCAGACUCCUACGGGAGGCAGCAGUAGGGAAUCUUCCGCAAUGGGCGAAAGCCUGACGGAGCAACGCCGCGUGAGUGAUGAAGGUCUUCGGAUCGUAAAACUCUGUUAUUAGGGAAGAACAUAUGUGUAAGUAACUGUGCACAUCUUGACGGUACCUAAUCAGAAAGCCACGGCUAACUACGUG